rnacentral:sRNA from 4 species
GUAUAGCCCCGAAUGAAACGAUAUCCUUUUUAUCCGCUUUAUACGGAUGAAAAGAUUUAGUGUAAAGCGGGACAAAAG